ensembl:Mt_tRNA
AAGACACUAGUAAAAUUGACCAUUACAUUGCCUUGUCAAGGCAAAAUUGCGGGUUUAAGCCCCGCGUGUCUUA